rnacentral:rRNA from 1 species
UUCGGUGUCCGAGUUGUAAUUUGAAGAUUGUAACCUUGGGGUUGGCUCUUGUCUAUGUUUCUUGGAACAGGACGUCACAGAGGGUGAGAAUCCCGUGCGAUGAGAUGCCCAAUUCUAUGUAAGGUGCUUUCGAAGAGUCGAGUUGUUUGGGAAUGCAGCUCUAAGUGGGUGGUAAAUUCCAUCUAAAGCUAAAUAUUGGCGAGAGACCGAUAGCGAACAAGUACAGUGAUGGAAAGAUGAAAAGAACUUUGAAAAGAGAGUGAAAAAGUACGUGAAAUUGUUGAAAGGGAAGGGUUUGAGAUCAGACUCGAUAUUUUGUGAGCCUUGCCUUCGUGGCGGGGUGACCCGCAGCUUAUCGGGCCAGCAUCGGUUUGGGCGGUAGGAUAAUGGCGUAGGAAUGUGACUUUACUUCGGUGAAGUGUUAUAGCCUGCGUUGAUGCUGCCUGCCUAGACCGAGGACUGCGAUUUUAUCAAGGAUG